CUAAAACGUUCAGUCUCUUUAGCUGUAGUGUGUGAAAAGGUACCAUGUCAAGAAUGUUCAGUUUCAUCUUUAAGUUUUUCAGAAGUAACGUUGAAAAGACCCCUAAAUAGAUUUAAGUAGAUAAUAUGAAAAGAAGAAACAGUUAUUUAAAAAAAUAAAACCCAGAGGAACAUUUUUGGAGAGAUGUCCUAGUCUCAUCAAAAUUUUGACUUUAAACACACCACUUCCAGUAAUUUUUAUGGCUUAAUACUCUUUUAAGCACAACAAAAAGGGGAAGGUGAUAUAACUGAUAAAGCAAAAACUUCAUGUUCAGAUAUCCCUUGAUGAUACUGCAUGCUCUGACACAGUUUCAUAACCAUUUCUAUUACAUUUUGCUUAUUUUCUCCUCUAGCCACAAUUUCUGUAUCUUGCCUUUAAAAUUAGAAAUGGUAUGUAAAUUACCUAGAAAAUAUGUGGUCCUCAAGAAACUCAUUAUCAACUACAGCAGAAGCAUAAUAAAUCCUAAGAUGAAGGAUAAAGCCAGCUAUAUCCACUUAUAUGGCCAAGAUAAAAAUCCCUACAACCCCAAGGGAGGACACAACCGUGUAAUCACCUUCUCGAGAGAGUGAUCUUAUAAAGCAUUAAUUUAACUUAAAACUGCAACUUAACAAUAGAUAUAAGCAACCUCAGUAGUAUAAUGGUGAAACUUGAUCAUCACUGCUUAUGACAGAAGGAGCAACAUUGACAAAAAAAUAACAAUAUCAGGAAGGGGCAAUGAGGUAAGUUGAUUUACUGAUGCUAUCCUGUACUUUUUUUUCUUCCUUUUUUAUGCUACCUAGUUUAUUUCAUUGUAUCCACUUUAUCAGUGUUUUUAUUUUAAUUUUUAAUUAGUUUUUAACAGGUUCAAUGUGAUUUGUAGAUACAAUCCUAAGAACAUAAUGAUAUUUCUCCUUCCUCCUUCCUACCCUCUUUCUUUUUCUCAUUCUUUUUAGCUUUUGUUUAACAUAUAUUAAAAUUAUAUGACAAUAAAAAGGUCUAAUAUUUAGCCA
rnacentral:lncRNA from 1 species